UACGUAGGGUGCGAGCGUUAAUCGGAAUUACUGGGCGUAAAGUGUGCGCAGGCGGCCGCGCAAGUCGAGUGUGAAAGCCCCGAGCUUAACUUGGGAAUUGCGCUCGAAACUACGUGGCUGGAGUGUGGCAGAGGAAGGUGGAAUUCCAGGUGUAGCGGUGAAAUGCGUAGAGAUCUGGAGGAACACCGAUGGCGAAGGCAGCCUCCUGGGCCAACACUGACGCUCAUGCACGAAAGCGUGGGGAGCAAACAGG
rnacentral:rRNA from 1 species